rnacentral:tRNA from 2 species
GCCUGAGUGGCUCAGUCGGUUAAGCGUCUGACUUCGACUCAGGUCAUGAUCACGCAGUUUGUGGGUUUGAGCCCCACCUCGGGCU